GGAUAACUCGUCAAACCCCUUCGUCUGUCAUAUGUCAAGAUUUAUUCGACUCGAGUUCGAUAGUGGAAAACUCUUUCUCCACUUUCUAUUACUGCCCUGGCCAAGGUCUUAGAACUCAGUCUAACAAAUCACAUAGGAUCUCUCCUCUUCUAUCAAGGUCGAUAGAUUCCAUGUAAGUGCAUACCCUACUCCUACAGUGAACU
rnacentral:lncRNA from 1 species